UUGUAAGGAUAUACAAAGAGGCUAGACUCGGAAAGGACAUAAGAGUCGACUUGAUCAUUUGAUAGUGAAUCAACAAUAGUGCACUCAGCUGGUCCAAGAAUCUCGUCCAAAUGAGCCUUGGAAAGAGUUCGAAGGCCCUUUCCUUCAGGAUCAACAAAUAUGCUAAGCUCAAAAAAUGUUAUUUCUAGCCUCUUCUCAUAACCUUCAAAACCAAUUGCAGAGACAGCCAUAGCCGUAUUGACCGCCAGAAAUUAUUACAGUGACAAAGUAUUCAAAGAUGCAAAAUAGACCACAGUCAAAAGCAGUGACAGUUGCAACUUGCAAGAGAAAUGUGUUUCAGCAAUCACAGUUGAAGAUGUUGCAGUUGUUAGGAAAUCGAAGUCGCAGAGAGAGGGAGGAAGAGGAAGAGAUCGGUUGAAGAAGCAACUAAAAACUAUGGCAAUUAUAUUAUAGAAACCACUUUAAGUGGUGGCAGGCAGCCUACUUG
rnacentral:misc_RNA from 1 species